UUGGAUUGUGUGGAUUCUCCUAACAUUCGUUUUACCUUUUAUCACCCAUAAAUGGGGUUCAUUGCUUCUACUUAAAAAUAAAGUGGAUGCAAAGAUAGAGACGUCCAAACAAGCAGUAAAAGCUAUAGCAAAUAUUGCAGAAAACGCAGAUAAAGUGAUUGAUAGCAUUACCGACAACCUUCCAAAUGAUAGCCAACUCAAGAAAAAAUUGGUGUUUGUAGACAAAAUAGUCGAAGGACUCGCUAAGAUUGCUAUCCUGGCAUAUAAAUUUAUCGGCAAGAACUUGAUGACAUGGCAGGUGAAAAAAGCUGAAGAUGAAUUAGUGUCGUUGAGUACCCACCAAAAUUCCAAGGGAGGUGAGAUUCCACAGGAGGAUGAGGACAGACGUCCAAGAAAUCAAUGAGCAGCCAGGAAAUAACAAAAUUACAGAAUAAAGUUGAAAAUAAAUUCGAAUAAUUUGUAAAAACUAAUAAUUGUUUCACUCGAUAUAGAUUUUUUAUUUUAAAUGUUGUUAUUUCAUAAGAUAUAAUAAAUUUAUGAUACAUAAAGU
rnacentral:lncRNA from 1 species